GUGGAUUAGAUACCCUGGUAGUCCACGCCGUAAACGAUGGGUGCUAGACGUUGGCGAGCUUGCUCGUCAGUGUCGCAGCUAACGCGUUAAGCACCCCGCCUGGGGAGUACGGCCGCAAGGUUGAAACUCAAAGGAAUUGACGGGGGCCCGCACAAGCGGUGGAGCAUGUGGUUCAAUUCGACGCAACGCGCAGAACCUUACCAGCCCUUGACAUGGGACUCGCCGGGAGCAGAGACGCUCCCUUCGGUUCGGCCGGAGUCCGCACAGGUGCUGCAUGGUCGUCGCCAGCU
rnacentral:rRNA from 1 species